CGACGUCAAAGCGUUCAUUAAAGUCGAGUUGGCUUAGGGAUACGUUCGUUGGGUAGGGGAGCGUUCUGUAAGCCUGUGAAGGUGUGUCGUGAGGCAUGCUGGAGGUAUCAGAAGUGCGAAUGCUGACAUAAGUAACGAUAAAGCGGGUGAAAAGCCCGCUCGCCGGAAGACCAAGGGUUCCUGUCCAACGUUAAUCGGGGCAGGGUGAGUCGACCCCUAAGGCGAGGCCGAAAGGCGUAGUCGAUGGGAAACGGGUUAAUAUUCCCGUACUUGGUGUUACUGCGAAGGGGGGACGGAGAAGGCUAUGUUGGCCGGGCGACGGUUGUCCCGGUUUAAGCGUGUAGGUGUGUGUUCCAGGUAAAUCCGGUUCACUUUAACACUGAGGCGUGACGACGAGGCACUACGGUGCUGAAGCAACAAAUGCCCUGCUUCCAGGAAAAGCCUCUAAGCAUCAGGUAACAUCAAAUCGUACCCCAAACCGACACAGGUGGUCAGGUAGAGAAUACCAAGGCGCUUGAGAGAACUCGGGUGAAGGAACUAGGCAAAAUGGUGCCGUAACUUCGGGAGAAGGCACGCUGACACGUAGGUGAAGUGAUUUACUCAUGGAGCUGAAGUCAGUCGAAGAUACCAGCUGGCUGCAACUGUUUAUUAAAAACACAGCACUGUGCAAACACGAAAGUGGACGUAUACGGUGUGACGCCUGCCCGGUGCCGGAAGGUUAAUUGAUGGGGUCAGCGCAAGCGAAGCUCCUGAUCGAAGCCCCGGUAAACGGCGGCCGUAACUAUAACGGUCCUAAGGUAGCGAAAUUCCUUGUCGGGUAAGUUCCGACCUGCACGAAUGGCGUAAUGAUGGCCAGGCUGUCUCCACCCGAGACUCAGUGAAAUUGAACUCGCUGUGAAGAUGCAGUGUACCCGCGGCAAGACGGAAAGACCCCGUGAACCUUUACUAUAGCUUGACACUGAACAUUGAGCCUUGAUGUGUAG
rnacentral:rRNA from 1 species